GAGUAACUAUGACUCUCUUAAGGUAGCCAAAUGCCUCGUCAUCAUACGAAAAACAAGUGUACCAAAAACGCGUUCGCAAACCGGGGUUUACUCGGGUUAGUAGGGCCUUCGGGCUCGAAGGCCAGGGUCGAUACCGGAAGUGACCAGCCGAAGACUGAAAGGGGCCUAGGAUCAUACGGCAAGUCGAGAGACGAGCUAGAUUCCGGGACUCUGACGGGCAAGUAGGCCGCACCAAAUUGCACUGAGGACCCUUUCGGGGGGCCGAUGGGCAGCCAACCCGGAAGCGAGGAUUCUUCGGAUAUUCUUGCCAAGGGAGGUUAGAGACUAUACGGUGCUAGGAAAGGGAGUGCUGGGGAAGUCAUGAGCCCCUGCCAGUCCACCGAGGAGAGAUAGUCCGUCAUAGGGUAUGGAGAGCUUGGAGCGAGUGGUCCGUAAGGUCUGGGAUCCUGUAUUUAACUAUACGGGUGAAACUACCUAAGCGUCGGCCAGAGGCACCGGUUGCUCACGCCAUACCCGACAAACAGACGUUAAUUUGUGACGCGCAUGAAUGGAUUAAUGAGAUUCCCACUGUCCCUACCUACUAUCUAGCGAAACCACAGCCAAGGGAACGGGCUUGGCACAAUUAGCGGGGAAAGAAGACCCUAAACUCAAUGGGGUCAACAGGGGGCUGGUGGCAUGGGAUUAGUACUUGUUCCAGGGAUGGGCAGGGAAUCCUCCGUGUUGCUUGUGAAACCCUCUAGUCACACUGAUCAUUAGUCCUAGGAUUCUGGUAAGCAAGGAGUCCCGGGAAGUGCAAGUAAUCAGUUGGCAAGACAACCUGGUACGAGGAAAAUCCUAGGAGAGGGACCGUCAAUCCCUCGCUCUAGGACAAUCUCGUGGCGAGCCCCUAAGCAAGGCCGUCGUAACGUGCGGAAAGGUGUCGGUCUAGAUUCAUCUAGGCUUAAGGAACGUACUAAUCCCACACGUAAGUGUGCCUAACAGAGUAGGGCUUGCAUCCCGAGCCUGUUAGGGACUGUGCCGUGGUUAUCUGGUCGAAGGCUAACGCCUGAAAACCCCCCAUGGUUCGACUCAGGGAGGGAAUGCCCUGGGUAAAGUCCGGUAUAUUAAAUGGUUGAGCCUGACUCUAGGCACAGAAGCGAGGUGAUUCUAAAGGUGUAGCAUAGGUGGGAGGGCCUGGCCCGACCUUGAAAUACCACCACUUUCGACAUCGCUUUGCUAAUGCUGUAACGAACGAACGGCCCCCGGAAGUUGCCCGUAAGGGUAGUUUUCGGUAAGGUCAUAUUCUAGCGCUUUCCUAGCGGGAUACGGUAACUUGGCUCCUCUGGGUGAGUACCUUGGAUCCACAAACUGGGCUUCCGGGUCUGGUGCGUGCUGCUUCUGGGGGAACUAGGGAUGGUCGGGCUGCCCUCUGUCCUGCAAAAUCGGGUACGUAAGCCGUGUAGCAGACACUCUGUGUUGGGGAGUUUGGCUGGGGCGGAAAACUGCUACACGGCAACGGCAGUCUCCUAAGGUCCACUCAGAGACGACAGAAACGUCUCGUAGAGCAUAAAGGCAAAAGUGGGCUUAACUUACAUUUUCAGUAGUAAUGUGAAGCAAGAAAUUGAGGCUUAACGAUCCUUAGCAGCGGGUGCCAGCCCAYGCUUGAGGUGAGAGAAAAGUUACCACAGGGAUUGAUCAAAACGCGUAGCUUUGGGGGGUUUAGCUUGGUUCCGGAUGGGGUCGAUAAGGUUGACGAGCCUUGAUCCCUGAAAGUCUCGGGUUAUUCUCCUUACGACUGGGUUUGUAGUGGCGAUCUCACUUAACUGCGGGAUUUCAAGGCAUCUCUGGUCUGGGUUCCAAUCCAAUACGAGGAGUUAGGGGAAAAGGCGGCUUUGCAGGCUGUCCGCUCUCCGUCCUGGGUCCAACAAGCGCACUGCAAAAAGGCGUGUACGGACCCGGGGAUUCCACGGCAGUCUACAUUCGAGGGUAAGCGCAGGUUUCCUCGGAUACAGGCGACACACCUGGUUGCUGGGACGACCCAUCCCAAACGGCGGCGGUACCAAGCGUUCCCCAGUGACUCUGGGGCGUGGAGUGUUCAUUGCUCUCUUCGGAGGCCGGUGGAUACGGGUAAUAAUCCGACGUCGGGGUUUACCAGCAGGCGACAAGGUCUACCCAAAGGGGCUAACUGGGGGAGAGCAGGCAUCCGUGCCAGCCGAUCCCGACUUGCCCUAUGGAACGGUGACUAAGCGUCUCAACGACUGGAAAGGUGUGGGCAUUGAUGGGUUCGAAGCCAAGUGAAGUCCCGGGGUUUUCCUCGGUUCAGAGCUAGGUGAUAGGAUCUGCUGGUGCUUAAGGUACAGUCUACUCCCACCCGCAAGGGUGUCUCGGACCACCAAGCCCGUGGGGACUCCCUUUUAUUAGGGAAGAUCCUCGGGUUGAUCCACUACUGCAGGAUCAGGUUCAGGAGGGCAGGGCUCGUCAGAGGCUCUUAUCCGUUAGCGUAGGUUCCCGGUAUCCCGUGGUAUUUCAACCCGGGGGACCACAUGGGUUCCGAGAGGAUAGGGGAAGAGGCGGGUCAGGUCUGGUACUGGGAACUGGCUUGUGGCCGCCAAGCGUUCAUAGCGACGUGGC
rnacentral:rRNA from 1 species